CUCAGAAAACUUUAUGAUAAUAAAUGUGUAAGUAUACACAGAAAUUUCAUUUAUGCUCAAUAUAAAAUGUUAUAAUUCUCACUUUAUGAAAAUUUUAAAAUAGGUAUUCUAGAAACUGUCUAUGACUAUGUAUAGACCAGAAAACUCAAGAACACAUGUAAAGACAAUUCAGGGCUAAAGAGCUAUGUGAAUGGGUUAAAAUAUUAAAAUAAUUUUAAUAGAGUUUGAAACAUGACAAGAGAAUUAUACACAUGGGAUUGUGGUAGUAAAUAUUUUAAGGAGGGGCAUCUACACCAAUUUGAUGGGUGAGGGAGAGAAAUAUCAUGAAACUGUUAAAAAAGUAGUUAAACUGACUUUUAAGGACUAAGAGUCUUAGGAGUCAGUCUGAUGGAGAAAGGGGUAAGGUGAUGCAACAUAGGAAAAACACCUUAAGCAAGGGCACAGGGAUGUAUAGGAGCAGGAAACACUCCGGGAAUUCAGUUGUUAAGUUUAGCUAGAGUAAGAGGCAGAGGAUAAGAGAGAUAAGCCAGGCUCAUGAGGGGACUUUCUGUUGACGGGGAAUCAGUUAAGUAAUCAAAAAACAAAAACCGAUUUUGUUUUUUGAAAGAUCACUCUGGCGUCAGUGUGGAGGGUGAUUGAAAUCUCAGAUGAAGGUAGGUUUAGGGCAACAAACUGGCAGGCAACUGUGACUAUGCAGGCAAGACCAUGAGGACCUGGAUAAAAUGGAUGACAGCAUGGUAAGGAGAAGACUGGUUCAAAAACUAAGUACAAGAUAGAAGAUGUAUUCUAUUCAUCAGUUCCCUGAGGAGAAUGAGGAAGAGGGAAGCCGUAACCUCAGGCUAAGCCAUCUCUUUCUGUGAUGAGAGUGCCACCAUUUGGGGUCAGAUUUUGUAAAGUGAAGAGGGUUUGUCUUUUUAUGAGUGAGAUUUGUAACUAAAUGACCUCUCAAGACCUUUAAAAAGCUCAUUUUCUGUGAUUUAACAAUUCGAAAUUGUUCUUUCCUUUUUUUUUUCUUUUUUUGGACUGGAGCAAAUUGAGUGCACCAAUUAUUCUGCCAUCUGUACUGUGGAAUAUUUCCCUCUCUGCGGAUCUGAUGGAAAAGUAUAUUCUAACAAAUGCUCAUUUUGCAAUGAAGUUGUGAAGAGACGUGGUACACUUUUUUUGGCAAAGUAUGGACAGUGCUGAGUCUCCCUGAUGCUCAAGGGCACCAAGUUCCCUUUGGCAGAUUCCACAUAGAGAACCAAUCCCUCUCAGAUGGCUGUGGGGCAAAUAUAUGGAUUUGAUUCUUCAAUAAAAGAUUUUUAGCAGAAA